CACGUAGUUAGCCGUGGCUUUCUGGUUAGGUACCGUCAAGGUGCCAACUUAUUCAACUAGCACUUGUUCUUCCCUAACAACAGAGUUUUACGACCCGAAAGCCUUCAUCACUCACGCGGCGUUGCUCCGUCAGACUUUCGUCCAUUGCGGAAGAUUCCCUA
rnacentral:rRNA from 1 species